rnacentral:rRNA from 1 species
UAACGCGUGGGUAACCUGCCUUAUACNGNNGGAUAACAGUUAGAAAUGACUGCUAAUACCGCAUAAGCGCACAGUACCGCAUGGUAGUGUGUGAAAAACUCCGGUGGUAUAAGAUGGACCCGCGUCUGAUUAGCCAGUUGGCGGGGUAACGGCCCACCAAAGCGACGAUCAGUAGCCGACCUGAGAGGGUGACCGGCCACAUUGGGACUGAGACACGGCCCAAACUCCUACGGGAGGCAGCAGUGGGGAAUAUUGCACAAUGGGGGAAACCCUGAUGCAGCAACGCCGCGUGAGUGAAGAAGUAUUUCGGUAUGUAAAGCUCUAUCAGCAGGGAAGAAGAUGACGGUACCUGAUUAAGAAGCCCCGGCUAACUACGUGCCAGCAGCCGCGGUAAUACGUAGGGGGCAAGCGUUAUCCGGAUUUACUGGGUGUAAAGGGGGCGCAGACGGCGAUGCAAGCCAGGAGUGAAAGCCCGGGGGCCCAACCCCCGGACUGCUUUGGAAACUGUAUGGCUGGAGUGCAGGAGAGGUAAGUGGAAUUCCUAGUGUAGCGGUGAAAUGCGUAGAUAUUAGGAGGAACACCAGUGGCGAAGGCGGCUUACUGGACUGUAACUGACGUUGAGGCUCGAAAGCGUGGGGAGCAAACAGGAUUAGAUACCCUGGUAGU